CAGAUACUGAGGCAAGAACAAUCUUGUGUUUGUGGAACAGCAGCACACCAGGAAAAAGGCUGGAGGCUAGGAGGUUCAAGAUCAGAGUGCCAGCAGAUUCAGUGUCUGGUGAGGGCUGCUGUCUGCUUCCAAGAUGGGGCUUGUUGAUGCAUCCUCUGAAGCUGAUUAAUGCUGUGUCUUCAUAUGACAGAAGGAACAGAAGGGAUGGCUAUGUUGCAAGGAUUUACAGCUUUAGAAUUUGUAUGCUUAUUUUCAUAAGAGUGUCAUCGAUGGCUUACAGCCUGGAGGAUCAGGCCUCUAAAAGCUCAAAUCUGG
rnacentral:lncRNA from 1 species